UCUUCCGGAGCUCUCUGAGGCUGCAAGCGAUGCCAUGGAUCAGCUCCUUGCCUUCUUGGCCAUUUCUCAGCGAGUUUAUGCUGUGCUCUAGGAAGCUACGAUCUUCUUCCAGUGCCUUCAGCUUUGCAGUGAGUUCAGAGAUCUCAUCUUCAAAAUUAACCAAGUCAUUCUCACUGACCAUUGCAUAGUACUGACCCUCAGGAUCAUCUUUACCAUUUGUCAAUCCCUCUGUACCAUUAGAUAAGUACCUGAAGUUGCGACCAUUUCUUAUCACAUUGGUCAUCUCUGAAUUCUCUGAAUUGGUCAUUUCUGAAUCUUCAUCAGCAUCUUGGUAUACAUCCUCACUGUUUGUGACAUCAAAUGUGUCUUCUUUGUCGUCAAUCUUUUUCGGGUCGAUGAACUUGCCGUUGUUUGAGAAUUGGUGGAGAUUCUGUCUUAGUUUCUUCAGGUGUUUUGAUAUAUACGCCUUCUCGUCUUCGAACAAUGAGAGCGAUCGAGCUGUUCUUGACAUGCUAGUCUCACAUUCCUCUGAACGUGAAAUGCGCAUCGCGUCGCGUAUCUCGUUAACGAGCGAUUGGUCUCUCAGCUUGGUCUUGUAGCCUUCGAUCUCGGCUUCGAGCUCUUGCACCAUGGCAGCCAUCUUCUGAAGAUCCUCACGGUCGUACUGGCUUUGCUCUUCCAUCAUCCUCUGAUACUGCAAGGUUUCCAUCUGCAUUGCUGCUUUCUCUUCUUGUAGCCUGGUGAUCAUGGACAUGGUUUGGUUUGUGGCAAUGGCUGAAGCAUUCCUCUCUUCUUCUAGCUCUUUCCAGAGAAGACUUAUCGACUUCCGGUCCAAUUCGAUUUGCUUCUUCAGUUGAUCAACUGUACAAUGUUCUUCAGCUUCAUCAAUGGCCAUGCUCUCAGAAAUACUACCUGAAUAAUUCCUGUCAAGAGAGAGUGCUCUAGUGAUAUUGUUCAGUAUGGCUUGCUCUUGUACACCAGGGAUAUUGAUGGCAUCAUUUGGAGAAACUUGUGACAACAGUAACUGCAGAUCUUCAUGAGCUUUGAAAGAAUCCUUCAUUGCAGUUCUAUCGGUAAAUUCAGCUUUCGGUUCAUUCUCCGCGGUACUGGUUUCGGCAGGCUUAUCAUGAAUAGUUAAUCCAACAAUGUUUUUUUUUUUAACAUUUGGAGAGGAUAGUGCAAACCUGUUGUGUCUGAAUCUUCGGUAGGAUGCUGAACAGUUUUGCUGGAAAAGUCAGUUGACUGAAGAUCUGCAUUGCCAUCAGCUCUGAAGUGGUACAACUCUGCUGAAACUUGAGAAUUCUUACUGUCAGAACCACCAUUCUGGAGUUGUAUCAAGUCAGAGUUCUUAGCCACUUGAUCCUGUGCAAUGUCAUCUGUAGGAAUAACACCUGCAAAUUUUGUUUUUGGAUGGCUCAAAGUAAAAUCUUCCUUCAAAUUAUCAACUGCAUCAUCCAGCAAGCUAGCAACACCACCAUGUUGCCAGGGCUCUGAUUCAGAGUCAGAAGUCUUCAGCUCACUAUACCUGACAAGACUGAUCUCCUCAAUAAGCUGAUCUCUUGAGACAUGUCUAGUAUUCACCUCAGUGUCAAUGGCACUAGCUAUAAUGCCCAUGAUGAUGCUUCUGCCUUGUGAGAAUUGCACAUAAGGUCACGGUAGAAGCCUGGUUGCGCCAUGCCAAAGACAUGAUCUAGCCUUGUGCACAUUGGGCAUGGAGGGUGGAGCUUGCAAAGGCUUGCGAAUGUCGUAACGAGAUAGGAUAGUAGCCCCUCAAAAAGCAGAAGAAGCAUCAAAACCCAUUCCAGGAUUACUGAAGAUAGUACAACAAAGAGCUGCUGAUAUCUCCAGGUUAUAACAGUACUAGU
rnacentral:sRNA from 1 species